rnacentral:lncRNA from 1 species
UACAACCAACGUGGUAAUGCUGGCAUAAUAAUUCCCGGUUGCCAUUUUCUGACAUUUGAAAAGAUCUGAAGAUACGCCCCUUGGAUGCCUGCAGAGAAGCUCUGGGGCUUCAGUCAAUGACUCAGGGUAGCCACCGAACAUGAUGCUCGGGCAGUGGGUGCCACCUGGACUCCACUCUCCCCUCUCUCUGGGAUCAUAGAGUCCAAGGUGUUCUGUGGCCUCUCGGCCAAUCCCAGCAGCUCAGCGUGCAGAAGACCGAGGAGCCAUUGGUCAGUGUAGGAGGUGCCUGGAGUUUUGGAGAUGGGAUCCACAGGAAUUCAACACAACACGAAAUAAUCAACAAAUUCGGGGAAUGUUAAUCUGACCAUCACCAGUUACAAAUGAUGUUUCAUGCUACCUUCUAUUCCUGCCUUCAUAAAUCAAGGUAAUUACUUGGCAAUCUGGCUAUGCCUUGUAAGGCAAAAGAGCUGUUCAUUUCUUGUGUCAAAUGGUGAACAGGGAGGGAGAGUAAAAUGGUAAAUAACCCUGCCUCCCAUCUGUGCCCAAUCAGCUCUAAAUCUCCAGGAAAAAAUGUGCUCAGGAUGGCCAGAGAAAUGUCCUUCCAACUGUGCAUGGAAAGGUAUGAUUUUGUGCAGCAGGUGAAGGACUGGUUAGAGUAAGUGUGUGCUGAGCUUUUGUGUUUGAAAGCGAGCCUGUGCACUUCUAACGAUUGGAAGGUUUCCUUGCCUUCUCCGAUCUUACACACAGCAAGGACAGCAAAGCCUUCCAGACCUGCCUGUGACAUGCACUGCACAUUCUAAAGAUGCCUAUGCAAUGGAAAACACCACUGUCUGCUCCAGCACAGCUGCCAUUCUUCCAUCUUAUCGACCUUAAUGCAACAACUCCUCACAGGCAGAGAUUUUAAAAUGUGUUCUUGGCAGAAGAGAGACUCAAAGAUGGGACAAAUGUGUCAUUUAAAUGCCUGUUAAAAUGGAAACAGACAUAGUAUAGUCAGAGGAUUGUGGCAGCUAAGAACAUAGUCUCUGGAGCAAAUCUGCAUGGGUGGCAAUGCCAAGCACAUGAGGUCCUAGUUGUAUGAACUUAGGAAAAGAAAAAGAGAACAUAUAUCCCCCUACCUUUUGAUUUCCAACAGUCUACUGAGAGGCCAAGAUUAUUUGCAGGGAAAGAAAAGGGGUCAAAAUGUUUUGCCAGUAACUCCCAAAUCAUCUACAGCCAAGGAGAAAAGUGUUUCAAGACAGAGGUGCUCAAUGGUAUCAAAUACUGCCAACAGACCAAGUAAUACAUGCAUUGAAGUGUCUACUGGAUCUAGCUAUAUGAUUCCACAGCUGUUUUAUAGUAACUCAGAGUUUGAAGAGAAAUUACUCCUGCAGUACCAGUUUCCAAAAUGCUUUGUAGCAUCUUCUCAAAAAACAAAUGGGAAGAAGCCAAUCAGAAAUAAGGUAGAAUUGGCCAGGCACGGUGGCUCAUGCCUGUAAUCCAGCACUUUGGGAGGCCAAGGUGGACGGAUCACCUGAGGUCAGGAGUUUGAGACCAGCCUGGCCAACAUGGGAAACCCUGUCUCUACUAAAAAUACAAAAAUCAGCUGGGCAUGGUGGCACUUGCCUAUAAUCUCAGCUACUUGGGAGGCUGCGGCAGAAGAAUCGCUUGAACCUGGGAGGCGGAGGUUGCCUCCCGGUGAGACAAGAUUGCACCACUGCGCUCCAGCCUGGGCAACAGACCGAGGCUCUGUCACGAAAAAAAAAAAAAAAAAAAAAAGAAAAGAAAAACAAAAAAGAAGAAAGAAGGUAGAAUAAAUAAAAGCAUUACAUUCAUUCAUUCAUUUUUAUUGAGAUGUAAUUGAAGCCUAAGCAUCAAAUUCUUAAAGCUCCGGAUGAGAGACUUGGCAAGUGUCGGUUACUUCUUUCAAAGAUGGGACUGGUGGCUCUGUAGUCGUUUGCUCCUCAAAGGAUGGUCUGAGGACCAGAAUCAUCAGAAACCCCGUGGGAGCUUGUCAGAAAUACAGAAUUUCAGGUUUUGCCCCAGACCAGCUGAAUCAGAACAUGCAUUUAAACACAAUCCUCCGGUCACUUCCAUAGCCACCUAAAUUUGAGGAGCACCAUUCUACACUGUGAUAUGCCAGCAUCGACACUUGUUUCAGCACUUUGCUUUUGCUUGUUUCAGCACCAGAACAAGGUUAUGGUGGAAAACGCUAGAAAUGAAGAUUUUGUCCCCAGGGAUGGGGGAUACAAGUUACCAAAGUAGUGGCGAGAAAAGGAAUUUUUAAUUUAGGACACUUAGGCCAUACUGAAGCAAGGUGACAAAAUGAAUAGCUACAAUGUCUCGUGAAUCUUGGGUUUCCAUUCACCCUGGUAUUCAAGAGAAAUUCUUGCAUCAUGGAAGUUGCAGUUGGAUAGGACUUUCUCAGCUGAACACUGUCAUCUGCCAGAGCUUCAGGCAAGAACCCAGAACAGAUGAAACCCCAGACAUGACAAAAUAAGCCAAAGAAUACCAGGCCAAGGUGUGAAAGGCCAGAUGAGAACAAGCAGCGUACACGAUUCUGUUGCCAACAGAUCUCCCCUAACAGUGUCGUGCACCAAAUUUCCACAGUGAAUGUCAGGAAAAAAUGGCAAUUGAGGUGGGUGGUCAAAAGAGAAGCACAGUCUAUGAUGAAGUCACCCCAGAGAAGUCCUUUUUCCGUUUUCUCCUGAGAAAUUACCAGAAGAAAUUAAAAUCCUUUUGAGUAUUGCAUUUAUC